GGAGUUAAUUACAAGCCUUCUUCUUCUUCGCACGGAGCAAACUCGUUUCCCUUAACUUCGGAGUUGUUUCCUGGUACCUUCCUCUGUUCCACUGUCUCUUUGAUUCCACACGUCCCCGUUGCGGCUGUUCCCAAUAAGUUGAUGGCCACCCUCCCCCCCCACCCCCCGCCAUCGACCUACGAAUUCCUCGGUUGCUCCUCACGACUUCUUCCUCUAAACCUUAGCUCUUCCACGGCCGACUCUGUUCCUUCCCUCCAUCGAGAAAGCACCAGCAAUGGCAGCUAAGAGGCUUCGUGAUGACCCUGACAAAGAGUCUGAACCAUCGGAGGAGAAACAGAUGCGACGCCUGCCUUCAUUCUCGACGUUAGUAGUCUCAAGAGCCUUCCUCCGCUCACCAUUCUUAUCACUUUUGCUUAAUGGUUCUUUGACAUGAAAGAGCCUUCCUCUGAUUUUAAUUUGUGCGCAAGCUUUUGCCUAUGAUGAUAUCCUCCAUCUUCCGCAAAGAAGUCCUCAAAAAGGCAUCUUGUGGCAUCGAUUGAUGGUUACCAUCUUCUUCCUCUUAACAUUGACAGGGUCAUCAAAGAGGCGAUGAUGGCGAAAUCCCUG
rnacentral:lncRNA from 1 species